rnacentral:rRNA from 1 species
UAAGGAAUAUUGGUCAAUGGACGCAAGUCUGAACCAGCCAUGCCGCGUGAAGGAUGAAGGUCCUCUGGAUUGUAAACUUCUUUUAUCUGGGACGAAAACGGGAUUUUUAUCUCAAUUGACGGUACCAGAGGAAUAAGCACCGGCUAACUCCGUGCCAGCAGCCGCGGUAUUACGGAGGGUGCGAGCGUUAUCCGGAUUUACUGGGUUUAAAGGGUGCGUAGGUGGGCUUAUAAGUCAGUGGUGAAAUCUCCGAGCUUAACUUGGAAACUGCCGUUGAUACUAUAGGUCUUGAAUUAUCUGGAGGUAAGCGGAAUAUGUCAUGUAGCGGUGAAAUGCUUAGAUAUGACAUAGAACACCAAUUGCGAAGGCAGCUUACUACAUAUAAAUUGACGCUGAGGCACGAAAGCGUGGGGA